rnacentral:rRNA from 1 species
UACGUAGGGAGCGAGCGUUGUCCGAAGUUACUGGGCGUAAAGGGCGCGUAGGCGGCCACUGCAAGUCGGUUGUGAAAUCUCCGGGCUUAACCCGGAAAGGUCAAUCGAUACUGCAGGGCUAGAGUGCAGAAGGGGCAACUGGAAUUCUCGGUGUAGCGGUGAAAUGCGUAGAUAUCGAGAGGAACACCUGCGGCGAAGGCGGGUUGCUGGGCUGACACUGACGCUGAAGCGCGAAAGCUAGGGGAGCGAACGGG